rnacentral:rRNA from 1 species
AGACCCGAAACCCGGUGAUCUAGCCAUGGGCAGGUUGAAGGUUGGGUAACACUAACUGGAGGACCGAACCGACUAAUGUUGAAAAAUUAGCGGAUGACCUGUGGCUGGGGGUGAAAGGCCAAUCAAACCGGGAGAUAGCUGGUUCUCCCCGAAAGCUAUUUAGGUAGCGCCUCGUGAAUUCAUCUCCGGGGGUAGAGCACUGUUUCGGCUAGGGGGCCAUCCCGGCUUACCAACCCGAUGCAAACUGCGAAUACCGGAGAAUGUUAUCACGGGAGACACACGGCGGGUGCUAACGUCCGUCGUGAAGAGGGAAACAACCCAGACCGCCAGCUAAGGUCCCAAAGUCAUGGUUAAGUGGGAAACGAUGUGGGAAGGCCCAGACAGCCAGGAUGUUGGCUUAGAAGCAGCCAUCAUUUAAAGAAAGCGUAAUAGCUCACUGGUCGAGUCGGCCUGCGCGGAAGAUGUAACGGGGCUAAACCAUGCACCGAAGCUGCGGCAGCGACACUGUGUGUUGUUGGGUAGGGGAGCGUUCUGUAAGCCUGUGAAGGUGGCCUGUGAGGGUUGCUGGAGGUAUCAGAAGUGCGAAUGCUGACAUAAGUAACGAUAAAGCGGGUGAAAAGCCCGCUCGCCGGAAGACCAAGGGUUCCUGUCCAACGUUAAUCGGGGCAGGGUGAGUCGACCCCUAAGGCGAGGCCGAAAGGCGUAGUCGAUGGGAAACGGGUUAAUAUUCCCGUACUUGGUGUUACUGCGAAGGGGGGACGGAGAAGGCUAUGUUGGCCGGGCGACGGUUGUCCCGGUUUAAGCGUGUAGGUGUGUGUUCCAGGUAAAUCCGGUUCACUUUAACACUGAGGCGUGACGACGAGGCACUACGGUGCUGAAGCAACAAAUGCCCUGCUUCCAGGAAAAGCCUCUAAGCAUCAGGUAACAUCAAAUCGUACCCCAAACCGACACAGGUGGUCAGGUAGAGAAUACCAAGGCGCUUGAGAGAACUCGGGUGAAGGAACUAGGCAAAAUGGUGCCGUAACUUCGGGAGAAGGCACGCUGACACGUAGGUGAAGUGAUUUACUCACGGAGCUGAAGUCAGUCGAAGAUACCAGCUGGCUGCAACUGUUUAUUAAAAACACAGCACUGUGCAAACACGAAAGUGGACGUAUACGGUGUGACGCCUGCCCGGUGCCGGAAGGUUAAUUGAUGGGGUCAGCGCAAGCGAAGCUCCUGAUCGAAGCCCCGGUAAACGGCGGCCGUAACUAUAACGGUCCUAAGGUAGCGAAAUUCCUUGUCGGGUAAGUUCCGACCUGCACGAAUGGCGUAAUGAUGGCCAGGCUGUCUCCACCCGAGACUCAGUGAAAUUGAACUCGCUGUGAAGAUGCAGUGUACCCGCGGCAAGACGGAAAGACCCCGUGAACCUUUACUAUAGCUUGACACUGAACAUUGAGCCUUGAUGUGUAGGAUAGGUGGGAGGCUUUGAAGUGUGGACGCCAGUCUGCAUGGAGCCGACCUUGAAAUACCACCCUUUAAUGUUUGAUGUUCUAACGUGGACCCGUAAUCCGGGUUGCGGACAGUGUCUGGUGGGUAGUUUGACUGGGGCGGUCUCCUCCUAAAGAGUAACGGAGGAGCACGAAGGUUGGCUAAUCCUGGUCGGACAUCAGGAGGUUAGUGCAAUGGCAUAAGCCAGCUUGACUGCGAGCGUGACGGCGCGAGCAGGUGCGAAAGCAGGUCAUAGUGAUCCGGUGGUUCUGAAUGGAAGGGCCAUCGCUCAACGGAUAAAAGGUACUCCGGGGAUAACAGGCUGAUACCGCCCAAGAGUUCAUAUCGACGGCGGUGUUUGGCACCUCGAUGUCGGCUCAUCACAUCCUGGGGCUGAAGUAGGUCCCAAGGGUAUGGCUGUUCGCCAUUUAAAGUGGUACGCGAGCUGGGUUUAGAACGUCGUGAGACAGUUCGGUCCCUAUCUGCCGUGGGCGCUGGAGAACUGAGGGGGGCUGCUCCUAGU